rnacentral:rRNA from 1 species
UACAGAGGGGGCAAGCGUUGUUCGGAAUUACUGGGCGUAAAGAGCGCGCAGGCGGUCGUUCAAGUCGAGUGUGAAAGCCCCCGGCUCAACUGGGGAGGGUCACUCGAUACUGAUCGACUCGAAGGCAGGAGAGGGAAGCGGAAUUCCCGGUGUAGUGGUGAAAUGCGUAGAUAUCGGGAGGAACACCUAUGGCGAAGGCAGCUCGCUGGGACGUUACUGACACUGAGGAGCGAAAGCGUGGGGAGCGAACAGG